rnacentral:rRNA from 1 species
GUAAUGCCUAGGAAUCUGCCUAGUGGUGGGGGAUAACGUUCGGAAACGGACGCUAAUACCGCAUACGUCCUACGGGAGAAAGCGGGGGACCUUCGGGCCUCGCGCCAUUAGAUGAGCCUAGGUCGGAUUAGCUAGUUGGUGAGGUAAUGGCUCACCAAGGCUACGAUCCGUAACUGGUCUGAGAGGAUGAUCAGUCGCACUGGAACUGAGACACGGUCCAGACUCCUACGGGAGGCAGCAGUGGGGAAUAUUGGACAAUGGGCGAAAGCCUGAUCCAGCCAUGCCGCGUGUGUGAAGAAGGUCUUCGGAUUGUAAAGCACUUUAAGUUGGGAGGAAGGGUAGUAACUUAAUACGUUGCUACUUUGACGUUACCGACAGAAUAAGCACCGGCUAACUUCGUGCCAGCAGCCGCGGUAAUACGAAGGGUGCAAGCGUUAAUCGGAAUUACUGGGCGUAAAGCGCGCGUAGGUGGUUCAGUAAGUUGGAAGUGAAAUCCCCGGGCUCAACCUGGGAACUGCUUUCAAAACUGCUGAGCUAGAGUACGGUAGAGGGUGGUGGAAUUUCCUGUGUAGCGGUGAAAUGCGUAGAUAUAGGAAGGAACACCAGUGGCGAAGGCGACCACCUGGACUGAUACUGACACUGAGGUGCGAAAGCGUGGGGAGCAAACAGGAUUAGAUACCCUGGUAGUCCACGCCGUAAACGAUGUCAACUAGCCGUUGGGAGUCUUGAACUCUUAGUGGCGCAGCUAACGCAUUAAGUUGACCGCCUGGGGAGUACGGCCGCAAGGUUAAAACUCAAAUGAAUUGACGGGGGCCCGCACAAGCGGUGGAGCACGUGGUUUAAUUCGAAGCAACGCGAAGAACCUUACCUGGGCCUUGACAUGCUGAGAACUUUCUAGAGAUAGAUUGGUGCCUUCGGGAACUCGGACACAGGUGCUGCAUGGCUGUCGUCAGCUCGUGUCGCGAGAUGUUGGGUUAAGUCCCGUAACGAGCGC